rnacentral:rRNA from 1 species
UACGAAGGGUGCAAGCGUUACUCGGAAUUACUGGGCGUAAAGCGUGCGUAGGUGGUUUGUUAAGUCUGAUGUGAAAGCCCUGGGCUCAACCUGGGAAUUGCAUUGGAUACUGGCAGGCUAGAGUGCGGUAGAGGAUGGCGGAAUUCCCGGUGUAGCAGUGAAAUGCGUAGAGAUCGGGAGGAACAUCUGUGGCGAAGGCGACUCACUGGACACAUAUUGACGCUGAGGUGCGAAAGCGUGGGGAGCAAACAGG